rnacentral:rRNA from 1 species
GAUGAACGCUGGCGGCGUGCUUAACACAUGCAAGUCGAACGAAGAAGCCUAGCUUGCUGGGUGGAUUAGUGGUGAACGGGUGAGUAACACGUGAGUAACCCGCCCGUAACUCUGGGAUAAGUCGGGGAUAAUGGGGGUAAUACCGGUUUGGUUCGUCCACCGCCUGGUGGGUGUUGGCAAGAGUUAUCGGUUUUGGUUGGAUGCGCGUGCUAUCAGCUUGUUGGUGUGGGAUUGUUUCACCAAGGCGACGACGGGUAGCCGGCGUGAGCAGGUGGCCGGCGACACUGGGACUGAGACACGGCCCAGACUCCUACGGGAAGCAGCAGUGGGGAGUAGUAGACUAUUGCCGCAAGCCUGAUUCAGCGACGCCGCGUGUGGGAUUACGGCCUUCGGGUUGUAAACCGCUUUCCGUAGGGAUGGAGCGGUAGUGACGGUACCGGUAGAAGAAGCACCGGCUAACUACGUG